rnacentral:rRNA from 1 species
GUGACAGUAGCCGCGGUAACACGUAGGAUCCAAGCGUUAUCCGGAUUUACUGGGCGUAAAGCGCGUGCAGGUGGUUUGCUAAGUUGGGUGUUAAAUCUCUCGGCUCAACUGAGAGGUGUCGCUCAAAACUAGCAGACUGGAGGAUGGUAGAGGAUGGCGGAAUUCCGGGUGUAGUGGUGAAAUGCGUAGAUAUCCGGAGGAACACCAGUGGCGAAGGCGGCCAUCUGGACCAUUCCUGACACUCAAACGCGAAAGCUAGGGGAGCAAACGGGAUUAGAAACCCCUGUAGUCC